rnacentral:snRNA from 1 species
AUCGCUUCUCGGCCUUUUGGCUAAGAUCAAGUGUAGAAUUAACUUUCAAAUUAUAAAAGAAAUACAAAGAAUGAUACAAAAAUGGUAAAAACAAAUGACAAAUCUUGCCUUCUCUUAGCCUUUUCCACACUGCAUACCCAAUAUCUGUGGUGGGGCAUACGUUUC